AAAAUAACAAGAAGAAGAGAAUUCCUCAGCUCCUUUACGAAAGAGGUGUAAAGACUAAAGACACUUCUUCUUCAUCUUAAACAAGAACCCCCAGAAUUGCUCCUCUGUAUCUUUGACCUCGCAAAAUUCAUCCUCCAUUUCAAUCCUAUUCCUCAGAUAUGAGCUUCAUAGAAGUUUAUACAACCAUCAAAUCGAAAGAAUCAACCUAGAACAAUAGUCUCGUCAAAUUUUUUCUUUCUGUAGGAUUCCCACGUCCAAGGUUGGAGCUACUUUCAGAUCUGGCGAAUCCUUUGUGUGGAUACUCAUACCAUCAACACCCCCACAAUCUCACCGGUUAAAGGUUUAAGUAACAAUAACACUGAGAUUACCAACUACCAAAUGUGGAUAUCCUUGUUAAUGCAAAACUUCCAACAACGAUAACCACAAACCACAUCCUCCUGGACAUUAUGAGUUAGGAUGUUAUGGAGAACUUCAUUAGGCGAUACACUCAAAGGAAGUGCUGCUUCAACAGCUACAGGGACAACCACUAUUGCUAGAUUAUUAUUUUGGACUUUUUCCUUGUGAAUUACCCAAGUCUGCAGGAUACCUAGAUUUGCCUGUAUCGUUUGCUGCUGAUGCUGACUGCUUUCCCCUCUCUUGGCUUUUUUGAUCAUUUGUAGGACUAUUAGCUUGUUUACCACUCAGAAUUGCGUGUAUUUUUUGCUGGUGCUGUUGACUGCUUCUACCUUUCUUGGCUAUGAAAGGAUCUGGAUAUCCACUCCUUAGUGGACAUUUGGUUUUCAAUUAUUAACUCUUGCUUUCCCAGAUGCUUGCAUAUCCAUCAUUGAUGUAAUAAUUGUUUCAUUUGCUUGUGUGUGCUCUUCUCCCUCCUAUGUGAGUGCUUCAAAUGAGUUAUCAUUAGUUAUCCUA